CCUGGCGGCAUUAGCGCGGUGGUCCCACCUGACCACAUGCCGAACUCAGAAGUGAAACGCCGUAGCGCCGA
rnacentral:rRNA from 1 species